ACGAACGCUGGCGGCGUGCCUAAUACAUGCAAGUGGGACGCAAGGAAACACACUGUGCUUGCACACCGUGUUUUCUUGAGUCGCGAACGGGUGAGUAACGCGUAGGUAACCUGCCUAUUAGCGGGGGAUAACUAUUGGAAACGAUAGCUAAUACCGCAUAAUAUUAAUUAUUGCAUGAUAAUUGAUUGAAAGAUGCAAGCGCAUCACUAGUAGAUGGACCUGCGUUGUAUUAGCUAGUUGGUAAGGUAAGAGCUUACCAAGGCGACGAUACAUAGCCGACCUGAGAGGGUGAUCGGCCACACUGGGACUGAGACACGGCCCAGACUCCUACGGGAGGCAGCAGUAGGGAAUCUUCGGCAAUGGACGAAAGUCUGACCGAGCAACGCCGCGUGAGUGAAGAAGGUUUUCGGAUCGUAAAGCUCUGUUGUAAGUCAAGAACGUGUGUGAGAGUGGAAAGU
rnacentral:rRNA from 1 species